rnacentral:rRNA from 1 species
UACGGGGGGGGUAAGCGUUGUUCGGAAUUACUGGGCGUAAAGGGCUCGUAGGCGGCCAACUAAGUCGGACGUGAAAUUCCUCAGCUUAACUGGGGAACUGCGUCCGAUACUGGAUGCCUUGGAUUUGGGAGAGGGAUGCGGAAUUCCAGGUGUAGCGGUGAAAUGCGUAGAUAUCUGGAGGAACACCGGUGGCGAAGGCGGCAUCCUGGACCAAUAUUGACGCUGAGGAGCGAAAGCCAGGGGAGCAAACGGG